rnacentral:lncRNA from 1 species
CUGGCAUUCUGUUUCAUCCUAUCUCCUCAAUUCGAGGGACCUACCCCCGUCUGAGGCCACGGCUGAACAGGAGUGGCCUGCUCUCUCUCUCUCCUAUUUGUAAGGCAGGGCGGGAGACAAUACUCCAUCCAGCCUGGAGCUCCGGCUGUCUGGAAUCCCAUUUCACUACUGCACACCUACAGGAGCCCAGCUCUGUGAUAGGCUUUAUGGGGAAUCUUGAACAGACCGAAGACACUGUUCUCUCUGCCUGAAGCUGUGAUCUUGUGAGGAAAGGAGGCCUGAAGAGCAGGAGACUUCUCUCUGUAGCUUCAGGACAUCAUGGGUCAAGAAAUCAGGACUGACCACAUAAUGAGAGGAGUCAUGAGAGAUCAGGCGUGUAUGUAUGAGAAGAGAACUUUCCCAGGUUAACCUCACAUCUUCCUUGGGACACACGAAGGCAUGGCAAAGCAGGAUUGCCCCCAUAGCUCUUCUCAAGCAGUUUCCCUUUCCUCAUUUCCCUUUAGUGUUACUAUCUUUCAUAAAGAAUAAAGACUUGUCAGAGCUGAAAUCCCAGGCCUCAUCCCUCUGAGAAGUUUGUGUGCAUCCUUCCCAUGCACACUUUGUAUGUUUACUAUAUAUGUAUGUUUUUAUAAAUAAUAUAAACUCUUGUUUCAUGUAUUUAAAAAUUUUGCAGAUCUUUUCAUCAAGAUGUAAACAGGCAAGGCCAGAGACUGGGUCUUUCUUUGUGAACCCACCAGCCUUGUGAGUAGUUAGUGUAGCAUUUUCUCUUGACCAGGUUUGAGAACGCG